GUCUUCGUAGCUCAGCUGGCGAAGUGCUUGCCACUUUGAGACAUGGUAUUUCUGUCGCUGGUUCGAAUCCAGUCGAAGCCC